GUUCGAUCAUGGCUCAGAUUGAACGGCAGGUCUUUACACAAUGCAGUCGAACGGCAGUACGGACUUCGGUCUGGUGGCGUGGCGAACGGGUGAGUAAUGUAUCGGAACGAUGCCUAGUAGCGGGGAUAACCGCGAAAGCGCGUAGCUAAUACGCCGCCCUUCAGCGAGGAAAGCAGAGCCUUCGGGCCUCGCACUAUUAGAGCGGCCGAUACUCAGUUAGCUAGUUGGUGGGGUAACGGCUCACCAAGCGGCGACGAUCCGUGUAGUUUGAGAGGACGAACAAGCCACACUGGGACUGAGACAUGGCCCAGACUCCUACGGGGGGCAGCAGUGGGAAUUUUGGACAAUGGAAACCUGAUCAACCAUCCCCGUGGUAAUUUCCACUGGGUUGUAAGCACUUUUGGCGGGAAAGAAACGGCGUACGGAUACCGACAGCGGCGAGCUGCAGAAUAGCGCGCAGCUAACUACGUGCCAGCAGCCGCGGUAAUGCGUAGGGUGCAGGCGUUAAUCGGAAUUACUGGGCGUAAAACGUGCGCAGGCGGUUCGGAAAGAAAGAUGUGAAAUCUCAGAGCUUAACUUUGGAACAUUUUUAACUACCGACUGGGUCGAAAGAGGAGGUGGAAUUCCGCGUGUAGCAGUGAAAUGCGUAGAUAUGCGGAGGAACACCGAUGGCAGAAGGCAGCCUCCUGGGAUAACACUGCUCAUGCACGAAAGAAAGCGUGAGGCAAACAGGAUUAGAUACCCUGGUAGUCCACGCCCUAAACGAUGUCAACUAGCUGUUGGGGCCUUCGGGCCUUGGUGGCCGCAACGCGCGUGAAGUUGACCGCCUGGGGAGGCGCAGUCGCAAGAUUAAACUCAGAAAACAAUUGACGGGGACCGCACAAGCGGUGGAUGAUGUGGAUUAAUUCGAUGCAGCGCGAAAAACCUUACCUACCCUGACAUGUCUGGAAUCCCGAAGAGAUUUGGGAGUGCUCGCAAGAGAACCGGAACACAGGUGCUGCAUGGCUGUCGUCAGCUCGUGUCGUGAGAUGGUAGGUUGGAUUUCACCAACGGGCAGCCCUUGUCAUUAGUUGCUACAGAAAGGGCACUCUAAUGAGACUGCCGGUGACAAACCGAGGAAGGGUACUGGGGAUGACGUCAGAGUCCUCAUGGCCCUUAUGGGUAGGGCUUCACACGUCCAUACAAUGGUCAGGACAGAGGGUCGCCAACCGCGAGGCCAAUCCCAAGCCGAUCGUAGUCCGGAUCGCAGUACGCUCGACUGCGUGAAGUCGAAUCGCUAGUAAUCGCCGGAUCAGCAUGUCGCGGUGCCCGGGUCUUGUACACCGCCCGUCACACACCAUGGGAGUGGGUUUUGCAGAAGUAGUUAGCCUAACCGUAAGGAGGGCGAUUACCACGGUGAUUCAUGACUGGGGUGAAGUCGUAACAAGGUAG
rnacentral:rRNA from 1 species